UACGGGGGGGGCAAGCGUUGUUCGGAAUUACUGGGCGUAAAGGGCUUGUAGGUGGCCAACUAAGUCAGACGUGAAAUCCCUCGGCUUAACCGGGGAACUGCGUCUGAUACUGGAUGGCUCGAGUUUGGGAGAGGGAUGCGGAAUUCCAGGUGUAGCGGUGAAAUGCGUAGAUAGUCUGGAGGAACACCGGUGGCGAAGGCGGCAUCCUGGACCAACACUGACACGUGAAAAGCGAAAGCCAGGG
rnacentral:rRNA from 1 species